CAGAGACAGACCCAGACAUUGGAUCAACCGAAUCCCGCAUCAGCUACUCCCCCCACACACAUACACCCCACCACCCCUCUUCCUUGCCUCAACACUUUAUAAAGUCAGAUGCUGUAUUGAGAAGCAACACAACAUUUCUCCUGACUGGAUAAACAUAAAGACUGAAUAAACUGUCUUGAUCUUCAUUCAGUUCAUUCUAGUCGACAGAUUGACAUUAAGACUUGAUGUUCAGUGAUCUGUAGAAGAGAAGCUUCACUGUUUCCACAGCCUGAGGAGCUACUGAAGAACAUCUGACUGAUAUAUUACAACAACAGGAGACUCCUCACAGGUGUGCCAUGUCCGUUCCCUAUGUGGAGGUGAGGAGUAGAGAGUUGGGUGGGUCGGUGGACAUCGGGCUGUUCCACCAGCAUCUCAGCGGGGGGUCACAUGUCAGGGGACCCGGCGUGGGCGCCAGCAUCGAGGCAUCCAAUCGGGACGGAGUCAAGUUGAUGGCCAGAGCCCAGGUUCUAACGCUGUCUCAAGGCGAAGGGGAGGGGAGGACCAGAGUGGGGCUGGCGUUUGACACGGGCGUGGGGAUUGGUCCAGAAGGGCUGGAGGCAAAGGUGUUGGGGACUGGGCUGAGGCUGGGGCCGAGACCCACUGUGUCCCUGGUGGGAAAUGAACUGGAGUGUUCUGUCAUGUAGACUUUCACUGUGUCCUAAAUUGUACACUAUGUACACUAUAGUUCCCUAUAUAUUCCCUAUAUAAUGCACUUUAUAGGGAAUAGGGUGGGGAUGAACUCUGUUCUGUCAUGAAGUCGCUAAUGUACACUGUUUCUGGAACAGCUGGCAACCUGAAGGGUAUCACUUCACUAAGGACAAUGUUGCGUGUUGGAGCAUGUUGGGGUCAAAAUGGUUGAACCUAAAUGUAUAAUAAAAUCAAGAGUUUUUACAUA